ACAUAAACCAGUCAGUACACUCAUUGCAUUAAGAAACGGUAUGUUAAGGAAAUUUUAGUUUUGUUCUGACAAUUCCAUAGUAUUCUCUUACAAGCUUUAUUCUGUUACAUGAUGCGCCUUCUUUCUCCAUGUGUUUAAACUGUGUUCCAACAUUUUCAUCAAGUAAGAGUAUCCUGUGAGGUGUAUGUAAAUACGAACAACCAGACAAUUGUCCACCAAGAUUGCCACCCUGAGCGAAGGACUGAACCUAUAGAGUUUAGAGGCUGGCUACAAAUUCCAACAAUAGCAAAGUGAAAAGAGAGGCUCCUCAUAACUAGAGCGCAUGCACAGGAUUUGAUAUCUUUGGAUGGUAGAAAAGUUUGUAAAUAUGGAACUCGGAGAAGAUAGCUCCAGGUUUGGGUCUUUACCAGUCACGACUUCAAGGAAUCUGUCAUCAUCAUCUUCGGUAUUCUUUUCAGCGAAUCAGUCACCCUUCUUCUCUCCUAGAUCACCAACAUGUCAUUUAUCAGAAUCCAAACAGUCCAACAUUCAAUGUGAUGGCAUUCAUUCAAGUAUUGAUCCUCUUAAACUUUAUUAGGAUGAAAAUAUGCAAAGCGUAAUGGAAAGGAAAGUGCGUCCUGUUAGGAAAUUUUUUUAAAUUAUAUCCAAUUAACUUGCAGAAGAUGGAGGAUAUGGGAAUGCAAUUUGUAAAUCUAUUAUCAAGCACUAAAUUAGUAGAUUUUCAAAUUUUCUAUUUUCAA